AGUAACGCGUGGAUAACCUGCCUCAUACAGGGGAUAACAGUUAGAAAUGACUGCUAAUACCGCAUAAGCACCCGGGAGCGCAUGCUCCUGAGUGAAAAGCUCCGGCGGUAUGAGAUGGAUCCGCGUCUGAUUAGCUGGUUGGCGGGGUAACGGCCCACCAAGGCGACGAUCAGUAGCCGACCUGAGAGGGUGGCCGGCCACAUUGGGACUGAGACACGGCCCAAACUCCUACGGGAGGCAGCAG
rnacentral:rRNA from 1 species